AUGAUGACGACGAUGAUGAUGAUGAUGAUGAUAAUAAUAACACUAAUAAAAAAAAAUAAAGAAACUGAUGAUGGUGAUGAUUCAGAAGAUAUGAAUAUAUCAUUCAAAAAUGAAGAUAUUUCAACAAUAAGAAAAAAAAGUGUAUCUUUUAGUUCGGAAGAAGAACAUUUUUAUGUCGAAAAAGAUGGUACACACGGUAUGCGUAAAUUGCAAAACAAAAAUAAAAAAAAAGUAGGAUUUACAAGCAUAAGUAGUGAUAAUAGUGAGAAUAUGGAAGCACAUGAUAAAGAAAAUAAAACAAUAACGGAUGUAUAUAAAGAAAAAAAAAAAAAAAAAGGUAUAACUUUUAGUAAAAAUGUCGAAGAAGAUACUGAGAAUGAACCAUUUACAGAUAGUGAUACAAAUAUGCAAAAGGAAACACAUCACAGCGAAACAGAUACAGAUACAGAAAACAAAGAAGAUAAGCUUAGUAAAACGGAUUCGGAAAACGAAAGUGAUUUAGAUACUGAAACAGAUACGGAAACAAAAAAGAUAAAUCAGAUGAUGAAUCUGGUGGGGAAUAUAUUAGUAGCGGAAAUAACAGUUCUAAUAAUAAAAGUGGAAAUAAAAAAAAAUGGAAAUUAUGAAAAUUAUGAAUGUGGUAAUAAUGAUACAGAAACUAAUAAUGAUGAUAAAUAUGACAAUAAAAAUAUGGCGAGGGGAAAUAAAAAUAAUUAUAAUAAACAAAGUGAAAUAAAAAGUAAACAAAAUAUAAAAAAACAAAAAAAUAAUUCUAUUAAAAAUAGAUCAAUGAAAGAAUCAGUUGUAGAUAACAAUAAUAUACAUUUAUUGAGAGGAGCAAGAACAAAAAAAAAACGAAUGAAAAAAAAAUAUAAAAACCAAGUGGUAGAUGAGCAGGAAAGACAACUUCAUAUGAAAAUAAUUGGAUCUAAAAAGAUGAAACACGAAGAUAAGAUAUUAGAAAAGGAAGAACAAAAUAAGAAUGGACCAGAGACAAAUAACAAAUUUAAGAAUCCCAAGACAGUUCUUAUUAAUUUGGAAGAAAUAAAUGAAGAUGAAAUGGAUAUAAAAAUGAGUGAAUUAAACAAAUUAACAUGUUCACCUAAAGAAGGAGAUAAUCUGUUAUUUGCCAUCCCAAUGUGUGCACCAUAUUCUGCUAUUCAAAAUCAUAAAUAUAAAGUAAAAAUAAUUCCUGGAACUGCGAAAAAAGGGAAAGUUGCUGAUUGUUGUGUUGCUCACUUUUUAAAAAUUUCAAAUGAUGAUAAGGAAAAGGAUUUAAUUAAAAAGAUAUCGAUGGAUGAACUAGUAAAUUGUAUCAUCUCAAAUUCAACUGCAGACAUAAAAGAACUGAAAAUUGCUGCUAAAUCGAAUUUUAUGCAUAAAAGCAAAAAAAAACAAAAAUAUUAAAUAACUAGGCACGAUGAGUUUUUAUACGUGACUUUUUUUUUUGUCGUAUGCUUUUUAUAGGAUUUAUAAUAAAACAUUUUGUAUAUAUACA
rnacentral:lncRNA from 1 species